rnacentral:rRNA from 1 species
AAGAGGUGAAAAAAGGUAAUACUCUUUAGGAAACCUAUGCCUUUUGGCGGCCUCUUUUCUUAUCAAAGGAACUUGUUUAUUAAUCGAAAUUACCCGUUAGUUUUAACUUCUAUCUUGUUUUUAUACCGUCGUCUUAAGAAUAUUGUUAUAUAAAGUACUCGCAAAAAAAAUAUAUUCCCAAGUCAGAUCAAGGUGAAGCUAAUACAGAAGGUUAAAUGAGUUAUUUAUUAGUAUUACUAAGCGAUUUAAAAAUCAAAAUUUUAUUGAAUUAAGAUUUGACAAUACCUAGAAAUUAAUAAUUCCUAGGGAAGAAGUAAAAAAAGGUGU